CUGAUUGCAUGCUGGUUGGUAUGAGGUUAUAGUAUUGGUGUCUUUAGGGACUAUGGACAUAAACGCGCUCGUAAUAAGCGGAUCGGACCCGGGGGCGGUACCCGGCGACUCCACCACAAUUCCUUCAUUUGAGGACUAUGGGGUCGAAAUAGGAUCGACGGACGUCUAAAGGGGUAUGCUUUGUUUCGGCUGUCUGCCACCGUUAUCGGCGAAACUUGUACAAUUGCAAAUGACAAUCGUGCUCCGAUGGCAGUUGCGGCGUAAGCCGUAGCCUAAAUCGAAACUUAAGCCCUUACGCCUAGCCGCGUAAGGCGGGGUCCGUAGGCACCUGGCAACAGAAGCCUACACU
rnacentral:tmRNA from 1 species